rnacentral:rRNA from 1 species
GAUGAACGCUGGCGGCGUGCCUAAUACAUGCAAGUCGAGCGAAUGGAUUAAGAGCUUGCUCUUAUGAAGUUAGCGGCGGACGGGUGAGUAACACGUGGGUAACCUGCCCAUAAGACUGGGAUAACUCCGGGAAACCGGGGCUAAUACCGGAUAAUAUUUUGAACUGCAUGGUUCAAAAUUGAAAGGCGGUUUCGGCUGUCACUUAUGGAUUGACCCGCGUCGCAUUAGCUAGUUGGUGAGGUAACGGCUCACCAAGGCAACGAUGCGUAGCCGACCUGAGAGGGUGAUCGGCCACACUGGGACUGAGACACGGCCCAGACUCCUACGGGAGGCAGCAGUAGGGAAUCUUCCGCAAUGGACGAAAGUCUGACGGAGCAACGCCGCGUGAGUGAUGAAGGCUUUCGGGUCGUAAAACUCUGUUGUUAGGGAAGAACAAGUGCUAGUUGAAUAAGCUGGCACCUUGACGGUACCUAACCAGAAAGCCACGGCUAACUACGUGCCAGCAGCCGCCGUAA